rnacentral:lncRNA from 1 species
GAAGUUUCACAACCACAAGUGGUGAAAGGCAUUGUGCGAAGGUCAGAGGCACAUCCCCACCCCGCCUGUGGAAGACCUUUGUCCAUGGUGGAGAGGAGGCGGAGGUGAAUAUUUACAGCUUAUUGACAGCUCAGAGAUGGACAUGCUAUUAUCUCUACAAAGAAAGAACAGCUCCCAUUACAGCGCUGCCUUCAGUCGCUGGAGAGUUGGUUUUGGCAGCACGGUGCAAGCUGGAUCCCCUCUGCUGAUUGGAUGGGUCUGCAGGGUUCCUGCUGCCCUGGCCGGCCGGUGCAGUGUGACCAGAGCCCUGGUGUUGCAUGAGCAUCAGUCUGCGGCCCUUCGGGCUGUCUUGUUUCUUGCCCCUAUACAGGCUCCUGUUCCCCUUCUCUGCUGCUCUGGAGCCUAGCCCUGAAACUUAGAUUUGUUUUCACCUCAUGUCUUCUGAGGUCUGGCUCUGCUUCUGAUAUUGCUGGUCCAACCCGGAUGGAGUGUGAAGAUUAGCUCUGAGCUGACAUCUGCUUGACAUCUGCUGCCAAUCCUCCUCUUUUUGCUGAUGAAGACUGGCCCUGAGCUAACAUCCAUGCCUAUCUUCCUCUACGUUAUAUGUGGGAUGCCUACCACAGCAUGGCUUGCCAAGUGGUGCCAUGUCCGCACCCGGGAUCCAAACUGGUGAACCCUGGGCCACUGAAGUGGAACAUGUGCACAUAACCGCUGUGCCACCGGGCCAGCCCAUCUCU